UACGGAGGGUGCAAGCGUUGCUCGGAAUUAUUGGGCGUAAAGGGUAGGUAGGUGGUCUCAUUUGUCUGAGGUGAAAGCCUUGAGCUUAACUCAAGAAGUGCCUCGGAAACGGUGAGACUAGAGUCCUGGAGAGGGUCGUGGAAUUCCCGGUGUAGCGGUGAAAUGCGUAGAGAUCGGGAGGAACACCAGAGGCGAAGGCGGCGACCUGGACAGGCACUGACACUCAACUACGAAAGCGUGGGGAGCAAACAGG
rnacentral:rRNA from 1 species